GGUUGAUCCUGCCGGAGGCCAUUGCUAUUGGAGUCCGACUUAGCCAUGCUAGUUGCACGGGUUCAGACCCGUGGCGAAUAGCUCCGUAACACGUGGUCAAUCUACCCUGUGGCGGACGAUAACCUCGGGAAACUGAGGCUAAUAGUCCAUACCGCUCCCACGCUGGAACUGCGGGGAGUCAGAAACGCUCAGGCGCCACAGGAUGAGACUGCGGCCGAUUAGGUAGACGGUGGGGUAACGGCCCACCGUGCCGAUAAUCGGUACGGGUUGUGAGAGCAAGAGCCCGGAGACGGAAUCUGAGACAAGAUUCCGGGCCCUACGGGGCGCAGCAGGCGCGAAACCUUUACACUGCACGCACGUGCGAUAGGGGGACUCCGAGUGCGAGGGCAUACUAGCCCUCGCUUUUGUACACCGUAAGGUGGUGUACGAAUAAGAGCUGGGCAAGACCGGUGCCAGCCGCCGCGGUAAUACCGGCAGCUCGAGUGAUGGCCGAUCUUAUUGGGCCUAAAGCGUCCGUAGCUGGCCGCGACGGUCCGUCGGGAAAUCCACAGGCCCAACCUGUGGGCGUCCGGCGGAAACCACGCGGCUUGGGACCGGAAGACCCGAGGGGUACGUCCGGGGUAGGAGUGAAAUCCCGUAAUCCUGGACGGACCACCGAUGGCGAAAGCACCUCGGGAGGACGGAUCCGACAGUGAGGGACGAAAGCUGGGGUCUCGAACCGGAUUAGAUACCCGGGUAGUCCCAGCCGUAAACGAUGCUCGCCAGGUGUGUCGCCGACUACGAGUCGGCGAUGCGCCGCAGGGAAGCCGCUAAGCGAGCCGCCUGGGAAGUACGUCCGCAAGGAUGAAACUUAAAGGAAUUGGCGGGGGAGCACUACAACCGGAGGAGCCUGCGGUUUAAUUGGAUUC
rnacentral:rRNA from 1 species